GGAGUUUUAGCUCAGUGGUAGAGCUCUUGCCUCACAUGCAUGAGGCCCUGGGUUCGAUUCUCAACACCA
rnacentral:tRNA from 1 species